rnacentral:lncRNA from 1 species
ACUUCCUACUGUUCUUGUCAAAGUAGCUGAAAUUUCCUGAGGAAAAAGAAAUAAUAAAAGGACAAGGCAGCUCUCUGGAGACAGGCUCUGCUACUGUGUGCACUGUUAUCAAUCACCUCCUAACUAAAGAGCAGGCUCAGCUGGGAAUUCAGCAGGUCCAGAGAGCAGCACAAGCUUCAGCCCACACAGACACCAAGAUCUGCUCCAUGGGAAGAUGGUUCCUCCUCCUCACCAGCCCUCCACCUUGAUCUGAGUCUUUGUCAGCUCAGAUUUUUCAGUAUCAGGAACAGACUUCCCUCUUUGUGUCUCACAGCAGGCGUCACAGUGAUGGCACUUAGUUCUGAUUACCAGCUGCUGGUAGCAGAUUCCCAGGAUGGCUCAAUGCUAGUCUGGAACCUGGAAGUUAUUGAGAUGCUGCACACCCUCCCUGGACACUCUGGGGUGCAUUCUUCAUUCUUUUUUACAGUUGGAGAGCUUCUUUCAUGUCUGAAAAGAGCUUUGACAGCUUGUCCAUCACCUCCUAGCCAUCAGCAUUCUGCCAGUUGCUGAAAGCACUGAGAAUCCCUUGCUUUGUUAAUCCUCCUCUCAAUUUACAGCUGAGGUGAGGUGUGUGAAAGCAUUUGGAAAAGGAACCUGUGCUGUCUCAGCUGCCAUGGAUCACAGCCUGUGCAUCUGGAAUUUGAUUUCUGGCAGAGUAAAGUUUGUUAUCCAAGAUGCACAUUAUCAAGGUGUCAAUCCUCUCUAACUGAAUGAGCACUACUAUGACACUAAAACACCAGUCACAGGAGUUAUCUACAGA